UGAGCAUAUCUAUUCAACAGAGGGUGUCUGUC
rnacentral:piRNA from 1 species